GACGAACGCUGGCGGCGUGCCUAAUACAUGCAAGUAGAACGCAGUUGCGAACGGGUGAGUAACGCGUAGGUAACUGCCUCAUAGCGGGGGAUAACAAUUGGAAACGAUAGCUAAUACCGCAUACGGUGCGAUGGACCUUCGUUGGAUUAGCUAGUUUGUGAGGUAAAGGCUCACCCAGGCGACGAUACAUAGCCGGACUGAGAGGGUGAUCGGCCCACAUUGGACUGAGAACCGGGCCAGACCCCUAACGGAGGCAGGAGUAGGGAAUCUUCGGCCAUUGACGGAAGUCUGACCGAGCAAAGCCGCGUGAGUGAAGAAGGUUUUCGGAUCGGAAAGCUCUGUUGUUAGAGAAGCGGUAACUAAACAGAAAGGGACGGCUAACUACGUGCCAGCAGCCGCGGUAAUAC
rnacentral:rRNA from 1 species